rnacentral:rRNA from 1 species
CCCUUAGAUGGUCUGGGCGGCACGCGCGCUACAAUGAUGCAUUCAAAAAGUCUUCUGACCUUAGAAGGUUGGGUAUUCUCCAAAGUGCAUCGUGAUGGGAAUAGUUUAUUGCAAUUUUUAAUCUUGAACGAGGAAUUCCCAGUAAGUACAGGUCAUCAACUUGUGUUGAUUACGUCCCUGCCCUUUGUACACACCGCCCGUCGCUCCUACUGAUUGAGUGUCUCGGUGAAUUCUUUGAUCUUCUGUCGAUUCAGUUCACUGAUCCGACGGUGGAAAGUUGAAUGAACUUCGUCACUUAGAGGAAGGAGAAGUCGUAACA